GGUUGAUCCUGCCAGUAAUGUAUGCUUGCAUCAAAGAUUAAGCCAUGCAUGUCUAAGUAUAAGCAAUCUAUACUGUGAAACUGCGAAUGGCUCAUUAUAUCAGUCAUAAUCUACUCGGAGAUUCCUUACUACAUGGAUACCUGUGGUAAUUCUAGAGCUAAUACAUGCGACAAACCCCGUUUGGGGCGUAUUUAUUAGAUAAAGAACCAAUGCCUUCGGGCCUUAUGGUGAUUCAUGAUAACUUUUCGAAGCGCACAGCCUUUGUGCCGGCGCUGGUCCGAUCGAGUUUCUG
rnacentral:rRNA from 1 species